AGUGAACGCUGGCGGUAGGCCUAACACAUGCAAGUCGAACGGCAGCACAGGAGAGCUUGCUCUCUGGGUGGCGAGUGGCGGACGGGUGAGGAAUACAUCGGAAUCUACUUUUUCGUGGGGGAUAACGUAGGGAAACUUACGCUAAUACCGCAUACGACCUACGGGUGAAAGCAGGGGACCUUCGGGCCUUGCGCGAUUGAAUGAGCCGAUGUCGGAUUAGCUAGUUGGCGGGGUAAAGGCCCACCAAGGCGACGAUCCGUAGCUGGUCUGAGAGGAUGAUCAGCCACACUGGAACUGGGACACGGUCCAGACUCCUACGGGAGGCGGCAGUGGGGAAUAUUGGACAAUGGGCGCAAGCCUGAUCCAGCCAUACCGCGUGGGUGAAGAAGGCCUUCGGGUUGUAAAGCCCUUUUGUUGGGAAAGAAAUCCAGCCGGCUAAUACCUGGUUGGGAUGACGGUACCCAAAGAAUAAGCACCGGCUAACUUCGUGCCAGCCGCCGCGGUAA
rnacentral:rRNA from 1 species